rnacentral:rRNA from 1 species
UAGGGAAUCUUCGGCAAUGGACGAAAGUCUGACCGAGCAACGCCGCGUGAGUGAAGAGGGUUUUCGGAUCGUAAAACUCUGUUGUUAGAGAAGAACAAGGACGUUAGUAACUGAACGUCCCCUGACGGUAUCUAACCAGAAAGCCACGGCUAACUACGUGCCAGCAGCCGCUGUAAUACGUAGGUGGCAAGCGUUGUCCGGAUUUAUUGGGCGUAAAGCGAGCGCAGGCGGUUUCUUAAGUCUGAUGUGAAAGCCCCCGGCUCAACCGGGGAGGGUCAUUGGAAACUGGGAGACUUGAGUGCAGAAGAGGAGAGUGGAAUUCCAUGUGUAGCGGUGAAAUGCGUAGAUAUAUGGAGGAACACCAGUGGCGAAGGCGGCUCUCUGGUCUGUAACUGACGCUGAGGCUCGAAAGCGUGGGGAGCAAACAGG